GGUGAAACUGUAGAGUGUGGGGAUGAAAAAGACUUGGUUGAGUUUUCAGUGAAGAGGCUUAGUAAUGAACACGAACCUGAACAAAGGAAGAGGAUAAAGAGGAGGAACCAGGCCAUCUACGCUGCAGUGGAUGACGAGGAUGCCAACGAUGAGUAGGACAGAGGACUUGAUGUGGAAGGAUCCAGAAAGGAAGAAGCUGUAAACAAGAGCUUCCCUACUGACAGUCACUCCUAAUGACCUACUGGGAGCUUCGUCUUUAUUGUCACCGAAACUCUGAGCUCCUCGGUGUUAAGAGAUUCUAGUCUCAAACAGGGAGGAGUUCUGUCAGGUGACACUGCAAGGGUCCCAUCGAUUUAUAGACACCUGCAGAACAUGUUGGACGUCUUCUGUGGACAGAAGGGAUCAGAGUGUGGAAAGAUUACAAUAGUGGGAGUUAUCAAUCUCCAUCAGCAGGUGGAAGUGAAGAUGUUUUACGUGACAGCAGCAAGAGGAAAUGCAUAUACUAUCUAGGAGAUGGAAUUUGGUGCCUCCUGGUGUAGACAGGAAGAAACGGAAUCACAGAAUCACUGUUCCCUAGGCCAGGGACGGAAGUGGAUAUGUGGAACUCCAGGGCUGUCAUGUGGUGGUCAUGAGAGUCUCUUCUCACAGACCUCUGACCGGAGAGUGUAACUGAGGGUCUCAUGCAUCUCAGGUUGGCUUCGAACUUGCUGAAUGGCUGAAGCUAAUUCUGAACUCCUGAUUCUACUGCUUCGACCUCCCCGGCGCUGGGAUCAGCCGUGGACUC
rnacentral:lncRNA from 1 species